GGUUUCUGCUAAGUCGCAAGACGAUGUAUAGGAGCUGACGCCUGCCCGGUGCUGGACGGUUAAGGGGAUCUGUUAGAGUAAUCGAAGCAGUGAACUUAAGCCCCAGUAAACGGCGGCCGUAACUAUACCGGUCCUAAGGUAGCGAAAUUCCUUGUCGGGUAAGUUCCGACCCGCACGAAAGGCGUAACGAUUUGGGCACUGUC
rnacentral:rRNA from 1 species